ACGGUCGGCGCCGGUGACGUCAGGGGGCGGGGGCCCGGGGUAAACAAGGGGGCGGUGGGGUCGGGGCUGGAGCGGGGCCGGCGGCCAGGGGGGGGGUUGCAGCAAUGUCUGCGAGUAUCUACAGCGGGGGAGCCAAGAGGACAGGGUCUGGCUCUUCUCGGUGGCGCCAAGCAAUAUGACAAGAGGCAAUGGGCAGAAAGUGAUGCACAGGAAGUUCCACCUGAGCAUGAGGAAGAAUUUCUUUACUGUGUGAGUGACCGAGCACUGGAACAGGUCGCCCAGAGAGGGUGUGGAAUCUCCCUCUCUGGAGAUACUCAAGAACCGUCUGGUUGCAAUCCUGUGCCAUGUGCUCUGGGAUGACCCUGCUGGAGCAGGGAGAUUGGACCAGAUGACCCACUGUUGUCCCUUCCAACCUGAUCCGUUCUGUGAUUCUGUGAUUUUUCAGCUUCUGAAGUCCCAGAGGGGUAACUAAAAUUCAGCCAUGACAUGAUGAUAAGAGAAGUGACUCCCAGGACAUUUUUUCCUCUUUUCCCCCUUGACUGAUGGUUUUAGUAUGCAUUUUUCUUCUGAAUCUUACUUUAGGAAUUAAAUAAAGGUAUCACAUAGAGAAAUAUA